CGACGAUGGAUCCAGGCUCCCCCGGUCAGGUCGCGCCCCAAGUACCCGCGCAGGUGCCGCCGAGUUCCUGGGUCACCGCCCCUCGGUCCCCCUCUUCCACCUCCCAUCCUCUGUCGCUGGAGCAGCACGGCCGUGGGCGUGUAGUGCGCUGCGACUCCUCGUGCAGUGUAGAUCGGGAAUCAGGCAGGAUUGCAGUUUCGUUGUGGUGGCUACAUGCCACAGUGAUUUUUUAGUCAUUUUGUAUUUCACUCGCUUGGGGUGCAGCUCGCGGUCGCAUCCUAUGCAGCUCGCGUGCGCAUCCUAUGCAGCGCGCUGCGCCUAUCUGGAGGUUCCAUGGGCCUCCUCUCCCCACUGCAUCGCCCUUCCCGGCGGCCUACUGCAAACAUGGCGAGUAGAGUAUCAGGAGACGCAUAGUGCUCUUCUGCAUUUCAUUGAUUUUUGUGCUUUUCUAAACAGAAAAAAGUCCAAAUGAAGUCCUCUGUGGUUUGCUAUUGACGUUCAUUCUACUUAUUUUUGUAGGAAAGGUGAAGUGGUGUAGUUCGGCUGGAUGGCCCGUUCCUCAAUUUUGUUGUUGUUGAUAACUGCACUUCAUUAGUUCAUUGUAAAAACUGCAGUUCAUUACCACGAUGGUUAGUGAAAGUGUACCCCGUAGAAUUUUGUGUGGUUCGGCCAGUGGAGAGUGCCGAUAUGUAUGGGUGUGUGGCUGUGUAAAACUAUCGGUAGUUGUGUAUGCUUUGUAGCUCACUUUGUUCUCUUGCGCUGUUCGCUAUAUAACUUUUCCGUGGUCCACUUGGCAAACACAAAACAAGAACAUCUCAAAGCAGCUCACUUCUUAUUAGAUGUAGUUCACUCGCUCUGUCCCUACGGUCCACUUCCAGGCCCAACGCUUGAUGUCAAGUGCACUUCAUCUUGUUUUGGAAAAUUUGGUAGUCUCGAGGUAGUAUUGCGGUUCACCAAUGCUCAGCGUGAAGUGCACUCCAUCUUGUUUGGAAAAAUUUACGUCCC
rnacentral:lncRNA from 1 species